GUUCUCCGGACCAAUGCUUGCCAAGCAUUCAACACCGAGGCUGCUGGUGCAAGUUAUGCUACGGGCUUCGCCGAUUUUCUCUAUGGUGCAUAUAUAAUACCUGCAAUAUAAGAAGGAAGAAGCAAAGAGAAAGGAGGAACCCCGAUAAUAUGUAUCUCAAUUUUAUACAGACAUCCUGUGGCCAUAACUUACGUUUGAAGUGCUUCCAAAAAUGGAUUGGACAAGGCAAGGAUACAAGAGUCAAAUGCCGCAGUCAAAUUAGUCGCCAAAUGAUUAAUCAAUCAACCACAAAUAGACUCGGCACUGGUGACUGCAUAAAAGUGAUGCUUUUACAAGUCCUCAAGUAGCAUGUCCUUAGGUGAAUCAAGAAGAUCACCCUGACAGCCCGUUUAUUAGGGAAGGUGCAGCAAUAUAAAAGAGCUGGAAUGGAUAUUGCAUCAAGCGGGAGGGUAUUUGUGACACUGAGCCCCAAUAUUUUAACAGAAAAAUUUAAUUCUUGGAUCCACCCUUGUAUACUGGCGAAUCAAAUAGAUCACCCUGAUAACCCGUUUAUUAGGGAAGGAGGGGCUAUAUAAAAGAGCUGGAAUGGUUAAUGCAUCAAGUGGGAGGAUAUUUGUGACCAUCCCUUCAGAUCAUUUCGGGCCAAUAUUGGUGGAGAAUGAUCUGGAGAGAAAUCAAGGUGUUUUUGUUGGAGAAUUGUGGACACAUCACUUGAAUUGCAGGAAAUGGGGUGUGCAUUGUCCCCAUGUUACUGGAAUUGCAGGACAUGCAAUCUAUGGUGCUCUCAGGUGGUUAUGAAGAUGAUGAGGAUCAUGGAGAAUGGUUUCUCUACAGAGGAAAGUACGUGUUAAUUAUCCCUUCAUAGAUGAAUUUUCAAUAUUUCUGGUUAGUUUUGAAGGUACUACUUCAUACCGAGGCAUGUACGUAUAGGCUGAUUGAUAAUAUUUUGUACUUGAGAGUUUUUCAUUAUCAGA